ensembl:lncRNA
AAACACUUUUAAUGCCUAUGAGUUUGAUUUUCUGUUGUUCCACCCCCAGCUGAAAUACAGAUUCUGAUUGGUUUUGCCUCAGAUCUUGACUUUCUGUUGUCCCACCUUCCACUUAAAUAGAUUGCGGUCCUUCUGUCCUCCUUUGCUCUGCCCUCGAGGACCAGCAGGCUGUAGGGUGUCCCAUUUCUUAUUCUGACUUUGGAAAGGGCACAGAUGAGCAUCCUCUGUGAGCCCUUAUUGCAGUAUAUGGCGGAAAAUACUUUUUUCUUUACACCAACCAGCCAAAACACUAAAACCACCUGCCUUACAUUGUGUGCAGCCAAAAACAGCUCUGAUCCAUCGAGGCAUGGACUCCACAAGACCUAUGAAGAUGUCCUGUGGAACCUUGCUCCAGGAUUAAAAAACCCUGCAUUAGCAGCAGAUUGAAAGAUGAAGUGGCUUAAAAGCAGCACAUGCUACCCUUCACCCUCCCAGCACUGGUAUCAUCUUGUGGAUAGGGGAAGUUCUGGCCACUGGGGCUCCACUAUUUCAGUGAAAUGAGCAACAUAUCUGAAGCCCUUUCCAACAUAACAAACUCAGGAUGGCAUCCACCUCCAUGGUAUCAAUUUGAGGCAUGCUCGGUGGCUCCUUACGCCUUCGUCUUCUACUAUGGGGUGAAAGUUCUGAACCUGUUUGUGGGCUUUCCCACCAACACGCUGGUGAUGUGGCAUAUCGUCAAGCAUAAAAACGAGGGCUCUACGUCUGACAUAUUCAUCUUUAACCUGGCUUUGCUCGAUGCCUUCUUCUGUCUCAUGACUCCUGUGGACAUGCUCAACCGGCUCUGGCUGAAUGACGACUCGACCUGGUACUUCCAACGCUUUUCUUACGGAGUCAAAGACAUGACACCGCUUUUCCUCACCUGCAUCUGCUUGGACAGGUACAUCGCUGUGGUCCACCCCAUCGUGUUCACUGGCAUCCGUGACAACCGCAUCCGAACAGGCAUCUCAGUGGUGGUCUGGGGCCUGGUUCUGGCCUACGCGCUGGCCAAGUGCCUUAUUGGAGUGCUGAGCGUAUCUGAGGUGUUCGGCGGCCUCAUCCUAUUUGCCUUCUUCCUCAUGGUCUUCUGCAACCUGUCCAUCAUCUGGGUGCUGCGCAAAAGCGUGGCAGGCAAAGAGGUCAUGAACCCUGUGAAAAAGAAGGCCUUCAAGAUGGUCACCAUCGUCCUGGCCAUCAUCGUGGUCAACUACCUGCCGCCCGUGGCUCUGAUCCCCUUCGCCUCCACCUUUUCGUUCGUGGACUUUAGAUGUAAGAUCAGCCUCUCUGUCUUCUCCAUCAUGGACCUGAGCUGCACCAUCGAGCCGCUGCUCUACAUGAGCAAGAUGGAGAAACUGGCCCUCUGCCCAUGUCUGAAAGGGCCUGCAACCAAAACCAAUAAUGUUAACGGAUGAAAGCAAAACAUGAGUCAAUUCAGAACAAUUUUCUUAAUUAUAAUGAUUAUAUACACAGUGCUCAGUUGAUAAAGAUCAUCUGCAUCUGUUGAGUAUGUUGUAAACAUCAAUGGAGACCUUUUUAAAAGUCAGUUAAUCAGCAACUAGUUUACAACCGGUCUAUUUUGGGAGCCCUCUAUUUUAUUUUAUUUUUUUAGGAAACAUCUUUAAUAUCCUUUAUUAUUUAUUCCUACAUUAACAUUCGGUUUUGAUUUUAGUCUUUAUUGUAACAUAGUUAAGUAAACUAAAUUUGUUUGAAACUUGUUUUUUUGCUUAUGCUGAUAAUAUGACUGUACAGCCUUUGCACUGUCUUCAACAGAAUGUAGCCUCUAAAUUUAGCUUUUAACCCAUCAUUAGCAGUGAAAACAUACAUAUACAAGUGAGCACAUACUCUACACCCAGUAGCACCCAAAGAGAACCUGAGCUAACCUUUAAUUUAUUGCAUUCCACCUUAAUUGUCCUGGCAUUAUUCAUUUUACAAUUUACAAUUUAGCAUUAGAUGCAGUGAAUUACCAAAGAUCAAAUCGCAGGAAUAAUUAACACUGUAAUAAGGCAAUAGAUGGUGAAUAUGUUUAGAUGGUUUUAUAUGUCUAAUAAAGCCUGGAUUAAAUAGCA